AAUUUAUGGAAAUUGUUCAAGGUCUAUUUGCCACCACUGAAACGAAAAAGCCUCUCUAUUCACUCCCUGCUGAAAAAGCGCUGAUUAUGCCAUAUCCUUGAAUAUCAGUGUAUUCCAGGCGGUGAUUCCCGGCACGGAUUAGAGCUGCGGUGUCAGUCACGGAUCGCCCGUUACAGUAUUACAGAUGGGUGAAUGAAUGCUGCAUGCAACUACGGUGCAUCCUUGAAUUUGUCACACACACAUUGCACUUGUUGGAGAAAGGAAGGAGGAAAAAGGAGGAGUGGGAGCAGGUGAAGGACCCGUCUUUGGCGUGGAGCCAAUAAGCAGCCCGGUUCGAGCAAGGAAGAGGCCCUUGAGUGUCGACAGCCUUUCGGAGUGUCAGUUGAAGUAGCGAGAGUGAGGAAUGCUUCAACACCUGAGAGCAGCACAACAAACUGUUAAUCCUUUUGCAUGCUGCUGUAGUUAGCCAGGUGACCUUGGCUCUGUGUGAGAGGGAAAUUGCCGCAGGCCUGUACACCUCAUGCUGGGAGAUAUUGCUGUUAGGUGCACAGACACUGCCGUUGAAGACCAACAUGCACACUGCGUAUUCAAAGCAAUCUCAUGUGCCAAUCACUGUACCCAAAAGCUA
ensembl:lncRNA